rnacentral:lncRNA from 1 species
GGGGACGUCCCGGCCCUCACCCUCCGCGGCCUCGCUGCCAGCCGCCAACCCCACCGUCUGUUGUGGCAGAUGUUUGGCUGUGCCAUGGCAACGCCGGAACAGGAUGUACCUCUGGAUUGCAGCAGGGACAAGCCCAAGCUCACAGGCCGCCCACACCGUUCCCCUCCCCAAAGGCCUGCUGCGGAGAAGAACCGCUUGGGUCCAGAGGAGUCCCUCUACUCAAGAUCCUGAGGGGCUACCCCUGGAGCCGGGCGGGACCUCAAGCCUUCCCGGCCUGCUGGGAAGAGCCAUGGAGAAGCAGGAAGCAGCGUCCUCACCGCAGGAAGGGGCGACUUGUAAACAUCUGAGCAGCUUCCCACCAGUCCCGCUUCUCGGAGAAGCUGCUGCCGAGCUGUUCCUCGAGUGACUGAGCAUCUCUCACUGCUGAGCUCUCCCUUUCCUCCCCAGACUUGAGUACGUGUGACCUAAUGAACCUGAGUGUCGAAGCUCCAGUGGGGUGACCCAUGUCUCCGAACCCCUUCCCCAGCCCUGCCAGAUGCUCAAGCGCCUUCAAAAUCCUCGUAGGACCUUGUGGCCUUCUGCAGCAGGUGAGACUCAACGAUAACUUUGUGGGUCCUUCUCCCCGGAUGGGGGGGACGAGGACCACACACAUGCACUUUGCCCCUGCCUCCGCCAGGGCUGGCCAGACCCGCAUCACUCAGCUGUGACAACACACCAGCACCGGGAAGUCAAAGCUCAGAGGACCUCCACACGCCCCAGGGUCGGUCUGACGACGGUGUCUGUGCCUUCCUGUCGCUUUAAGUAGCGGUGUUUGGUGCGGGCAACUUUAAAAGUCUUGACGCUUUUGGGGGAGGGGGGCGUGGGUCCUGACAGCAACAACAGAAAAGUUCUCUUUAGGAAAAAAAAAACCUUUUCUGACACAGCAUUUUCCCCUGGAACAAGCCUUGGUCAUUACUGGAUUUUUAAAAAUAAAAAACGUGCACAGCAGGAUUAGAGGUAGGAA